rnacentral:rRNA from 1 species
GACGAACGCUGGCGGCGUGCCUAAUACAUGCAAGUCGAACGCUUCUUUCCUCCCGAGUGCUUGCACUCAAUUGGAAAGAGGAGUGGCGGACGGGUGAGUAACACGUGGGUAACCUACCCAUCAGAGGGGGAUAACACUUGGAAACAGGUGCUAAUACCGCAUAACAGUUUAUGCCGCAUGGCAUAAGAGUGAAAGGCGCUUUCGGGUGUCGCUGAUGGAUGGACCCGCGGUGCAUUAGCUAGUUGGUGAGGUAACGGCUCACCAAGGCCACGAUGCAUAGCCGACCUGAGAGGGUGAUCGGCCACACUGGGACUGAGACACGGCCCAGACUCCCACGGGAGGCAGCAGUAGGGAAUCUUCGGCAAUGGACGAAAGUCUGACCGAGCAACGCCGCGUGAGUGAAGAAGGUUUUCGGAUCGUAAAACUCUGUUGUUAGAGAAGAACAAGGACGUUAGUAACUGAACGUCCCCUGACGGUAUCUAACCAGAAAGCCACGGCUAACUACGUG